rnacentral:rRNA from 1 species
AUUGAACGCUGGCGGCAGGCCUAACACAUGCAAGUCGAGCGGAGCGGCGGACGGGUGAGUAAUGCCUAGGAAUCUGCCUGGUAGUGGGGGAUGACGUACGGAAACGGGCGCUAAUACCGCAUACUAUCAGAUGAGCCUAGGUCGGAUUAGCUAGUUGGUGGGGUAAAGGCAUACAAAGGCGACGGUCCGUAACUGGUCUGAGAGGAUGAUCAGUCACACUGGACUGUAGACAGGGUCCAGACUCCUACGGGAGGCACAAGUGGGGAAGAUUGGACAAGGGGCGAAAGCCUUAUCCAGCCAUGCCGCGUGUGGGAAGAAGGUCUUCGGAUUGUAAAGCACUUUAAGUUGGGAGGCGUUACCAACAGAAUAAGCACCGGCUAACUUCGUGCCAGCAGCAGCGGUAAUAC